rnacentral:rRNA from 1 species
UACGAAGGGGGCUAGCGUUGUUCGGAAUUACUGGGCGUAAAGCGUAUGCAGGCGGAUCGUUAAGUCGGGGGUGAAAUCCCGAGGCUCAACCUCGGAACUGCCUUCGAUACUGGCGAUCUUGAGUCCGGGAGAGGUGAGUGGAACUCCAAGUGUAGAGGUGAAAUUCGUAGAUAUUCGGAAGAACACCAGUGGCGAAGGCGGCUCACUGGCCCGGUACUGACGCUGAGAUACGAAAGCGUGGGGAGCAAACAGG